CCUACGGGCGGCAGCAGUGGGGAAUAUUGCACAAUGGGGGAAACCCUGAUGCAGCAACGCCGCGUGAGUGAAGAAGUAUUUCGGUAUGUAAAGCUCUAUCAGCAGGGAAGAAAAUGACGGUACCUGAGUAAGAAGCCCCGGCUAACUACGUGCCAGCAGCCGCGGUAAUACGUAGGGGGCAAGCGUUAUCCGGAUUUACUGGGUGUAAAGGGAGCGUAGACGGCAGCACAAGUCUGAAGUGAAAUGCCGGGGCUUAACCCCGGAACUGCUUUGGAAACUGUGCAGCUAGAGUGCAGGAGAGGUAAGUGGAAUUCCUAGUGUAGCGGUGAAAUGCGUAGAUAUUAGGAGGAACACCAGUGGCGAAGGCGGCUUACUGGACUGUAACUGACGUUGAGGCUCGAAAGCGUGGGGAGCAAACAGGAUUAGAUACCCGAGUAGUC
rnacentral:rRNA from 1 species